UGACGUCACAACAGUGAAGCUACUGCGCCGCCAUCUUUGUAUUCUCUAACAUUCUGUAUUCCUGUGGGUCUCAAUGGGUAAUCAUCUGUUUUGCAGCAUUACCUUCAGCGGCGCACGGGUUCCUCAGUAGAAACAAGUUUAAGAAACUGAGUGCAGGCCAGAAUAAGGCCCAGCUCACGGGCAUAAUUUCUAAAGUGGUCGAUUGGAAUUGACGAGGCAUGGAUAUUGUAGAAGUUAAACAAGGAGGAAAAGCUGUAUGAGGAGACAGUUGUCAGCCUGGCUUCACUGAAGAGCUAUUUUAACAGUACAAGCUUGCCCAGAGUUUUCCUAAGCCGUUUGGAGUGUGAUGCAGCACGUUUCCUUGGCAAUGAAGAGGAGCUUGAUGUUAGUGCAGCUUUCUGCAAUGCACUUUGAGUAUGAAGAUGUGAUUGUUGUAUGGUUCUAGGUUGAACAUGUGUGCCUCAAGUUCCUUGAAUGCAGAACCACCAUGGAGUUCCAGAAACUUUGUGGGGACAGAGAAGGGCCUUGUGAGUGUGUGCUGUUGAAUACAUUUCUCAGCUGUCUUGCAGACUUUCAGGAGACUGUCUGACGGUCUGGUAAGUCCACUUCGGGACUUCAUGUCGAUCAGUGUGUUCAUCUUGGGAAGAGCUCUCGACACUGAGUGCUGAUAAACAGGCUGAACGUCACUGCCUGAAAUGCCAGCAUAUCAGAAGGUGUUGCUUCCAGUACCACUGUGCUAUCCGGUGGAGAACAGUUGCCACUAGCUCUGAUGGCAUGUCUUGCUACUAUUCUUUUGAAAGCUGACUUAAAUUGCCUUGCUAUGGGAUUGUUAUUAAAUCCGUUAGCAGAUUUGUCCCCACAUAUCUUCAAAUUUGUAUUGUUCAGUUUAAUAGUCCAUUUUUGUGUGUACUUGGAAGCUUCUGUUAUUGAACAAAUAUAUGUAUGAUUUCCUUGAGUGUGCCUAUGUCAAUAAACCUCUUUCUGAUUAUGAUUUAAUAGGUCAGGGGAUUGUUGAAAUAAUUAAAUGCUCACAAGCCGGUAUGUACAUAUUCCAGAAAUGAAUGCAAAUGCAUGGGAUAAUUCCAUUAAGUAAAGGUAAAUUAAUGUAUAUACUACAUACUGCAUAUGAACGUGUGUGUGUGUGUGUAUAUACUAUACUACAUUUUUACAUUUGGUUCUUCUGUAUUUAUUCUGAAGAGAUACUGUCUGGUUACAAUAUCAACACACAAAGCUUUUCAUUAACAAUCACUGAUCUCAGUGACUCUAACUUUAAAACCUGCUGAUGUGCAUGCUCCGCCCCCCCAGAACUGAUGUCACUUUGCUUAAAUUAGUUCACAUUUACUAUAUAGUCAAAAAAGAGUUAAUAAUGUUGACAAAUUACACAAAUGUAUAUAAUUUGUCAACAUUUUGAACAAUUUUGAACAGCACACUAUAUAGUAAAUGUGAAUUCAUUUAAGCAAAGUAAAGUCAAACACAUGGGUGGGGUCAAUGAGCAUCAACAGGUUAAAACUAUGAAGGCAGAGAAACGUUGCAUCCUAUAACAAUCUCCACAUGUCGCUAUUGGAUACUUUUGCUUUAAAGGCGUAAUUUAUACACUGUUGUAUUUUUACUGUUGAUUAUUAAAGAUUAUGAUUAUGCCCACUCUACAUGGGGAUAAUGACUCAUUUGUGCUUAAUAGGUACAUAGUCUGUAUAAAUUACAACCUGUGGGCACUUUUGCCACAUCCUUUAGUGAGCGUUGUUUCGUGGUUAAACGGCGCACAUCUGGUCAUAUUGAGAGUUUCGUCUUUUGACGGUGGAUGCUCUGUCGGUAGGGAAUAGUAAGAUGGCCGCCAGAGCACUUCCGGUGGCUUCACCUACUGCUGGCAGUUUCGAAUUCUAUGAGCAAUCCAGUUAUAUAUAUAGAUCAGUGAUUACAUUGCACUUUUCCUAGUAGAAAGUUGUAAAAUCCGACUUUCCGAGUUGAAUGGAACGCAGCAGUACUUUUCAAAACUUGAUCCGACACUGAAUGCUCAAGCAGCCUAAUUUACACUUAGAUAAUUCCUGAUGUUGCUAUAACAAUGCAAAAAGCACGUACCAAUUUACUUGAAGUGAAAAUCAGUCCUCCUUUCCUGAUUAAUAAAUUAAGCAAUCACAUGGUCAUGCAGAACAUCUCAGGUUUUUAAAUACAUAAGGAUCUCUUUCUCAAUGGCGAUUGCGGCAGUAAUGACGAUCUCCCGCUCUUCGCUUUUAAAUUAAGGCCAGCUAGAAGGCCUCCACCGGAACAUAUCCUAAAAAUCACACCCACCAAGAACAAAUAAAUAAAUCUGAUUGGCUGAUGAAUCUGACAAUCUGACUUUAGUUGCCCAUUCAUUUGCACUGUUGAGGGAUUCUGUGGAAGUUCUGAAGGUGUGAGGGGGUGGAGCUCAAACUCACGCGCUGCCUCGGUCAUGUGAUUUGUGACAGUUGUCACACUUUGCUUGUAAACAUCAAGGAAUAAAUUCUGACUGGAUAAACUUUUCGUUGUUCUCUAUUUGCUUGUAGAUUAAUUAAGAGUGGAAAGCGAUUAAAAAUACAUAGGCAAAAAGGUGAUUGAGAAUAAAAGGAUGAAAAAAUAUAUAUUUAUUUGGCAUGUUAGGCCAGCAGAGAAGGCUUUGCUGUCCCGAAGAAUUCACCACUGGUCCGUGAUGACCUUUUAUUUGGCCCGACUUGUCAUAUAUGACAAUACUUCAAACUGUAAUUCCGUCAGGUCCACGAGUAAAUUCGCUCUGUCUCCCUCUCUCUCUCCUGCAGCUGUCAGCAGUGUCAUAAGUGUAAGCGCGCGCAGCGAGGAAGCGCUUUGUCACGUAGUUACUGAACUUAAGAUGUUACAGAUGUAUAAACAUUUUAAUUUCGCCUGACAUUAUUUGUUUCUUGCUGUCAAUUGUGCAGAUGUUUCCAUGUCAGUUGGCGGAUGCUCGCGCCAUAAACGCGCACAGAUGGGCACUCCGCUUCUCUCGUAUUGCAUCAUUUCGGUGCAGUGCUCUCGCGCUAAAAUGAACAAAUUCUACAAUGUAAUUAAUAAUAAUAAUAACAAAAAUAAUAUCUGGAUAUGUUAAAUAUCCUUGAUGUUAAAACAUGACUAAUGAUACCAUAAUAAUCUCUGACUACUGUUUAUUGUUAAAUGUUUAUUUUAUAUUGUUUUAUUAAACUGGCAUGAAGGAGUUGCUAAGUUUGUUUUUUUUUUCUACGUCACUCAUUCCAAAUCUGGAUAAAUGCUGUCAUCUACUCUGCCGGUACAUUAGUUUUGUAGGCUAUGUUAAUGUAAUAGCCAAAAUAUUUGGAAAUAUGUGAAUGAGAAAUAAAAGUUUUGUUUCAGUAACAAUGCAUAUUAUGCAAUGCAGAGGUCAUGCAAUUUUGCAAUUAUUGAAACAUGCCAUUUUAAAAUGUAAUUGUCAUCCUUUUAUGUAAAAUACUUCAAUUUAAACAGUCAUUUUUGUAAAGGUAAAAAAAUCAUCCUCAAAAAACCACCUCAUGAACCAGGGGAGGAACCCCCAUCCCCUUGAUCUAGAUGAACAGGUGUUUCAGGUCAUACAUGUUAGCCUACUAUACAUAGAAAAAAGGGCCAUUUUUUGUUUUUAAAUCACAGGCAACCACGUUUAAGGCGUUGUUCUGUUUGGAAGAGAUUAACUUUCUUCAGUAUCUUUUAAUCUGAUACUUGUUAUGUGAGGAGCACCUAAGGCGGUAACUCUCGGCGCGACGCGAUGCGACGCCACUAGACAGCAUCAUUUUUCAUAAUGGGAGUGAAUUGCUUUUGUCGCGCCUCUCGCUUUGUGUUAGACAUUCUGCAAAAUAUAUUAAUCUGUGUUCCACACAAGAAAAAAAAUAAAUAAUAAUAAUUACAAGUAGGCCUACAUGAUGAAAGAAUUUUCAUUUUUGGGUAAACUCUUCUUUAAACUGUACUGC